CAAUACAUGUAUGUAUAUGCAGGGGGAAGGCGCUUCUGCAGCUGCAGAAUUCACUUCUGCAGAUGAGGAGACUGUGUCACUGGACUCCAGAAGGCUUGAGAUAUGUCAAUGUUAUGAAAAUAUCCUGCUUAUUUAGUCCAUAACGGAUAUGAAGUGAGUGAUGUGGUGCUUAUUGAAAACAUGUGUAACAGGACCCAGAUGCUGCACUGUCUCCUCAGCAGCCUGGUAACAUUACGUCACAGACUGUCAAAAAACUAUAUGUAAAGCACCUGGAGAGACAGAUAGAGCUGGCAGAUGUUAAAAGUACAAUCAAGAAGAGAAAGCUCUAAGAAAUGGAGCUGGAUCUUGAGAUUAAAUGCCGGACACUCAGGAAACCGGACCUGGAAAUCCAGAAACUAGAAAGAGAAGAUCCAAGCAACCAAGACAAAUGACGACCGCCAAAUAAAAGAAAAUCACCUAGAAAA